AAACGACUCUCGGCAACGGAUAUCUUGGCUCACGCAUCGAUGAAGAACGUAGCAAAAUGCGAUACUUGGUGUGAAUUGCAGAAUCCCGUGAACCAUCGAGUUUUUGAACGCAAGUUGCGCCCGAAGCCUUUUGGCCGAGGGCACGUCUGCCUGGGCGUCACGC
rnacentral:rRNA from 1 species